GACGAACGCUGGCGGCGUGCUUAACACAUGCAAGUCGAACGCUGAAGCUUGGUGCUUGCACUGGGUGGAUGAGUGGCGAACGGGUGAGUAAUACGUGAGUAACCUGCCCUUGACUCUGGGAUAAGCCUGGGAAACUGGGUCUAAUACUGGAUACGACAUGUCACCGCAUGGUGGUGUGUGGAAGGGUUUUACUGGUUUUGGAUGGGCUCACGGCCUAUCAGCUUGUUGGUGGGGUAAUGGCUCACCAAGGCGACGACGGGUAGCCGGCCUGAGAGGGUGACCGGCCACACUGGGACUGAGACACGGCCCAGACUCCUACGGGAGGCAGCAGUGGGGAAUAUUGCACAAUGGGCGGAAGCCUGAUGCAGCGACGCCGCGUGAGGGAUGACGGCCUUCGGGUUGUAAACCUCUUUCAGCACGGAAGAAGCGAAAGUGACGGUACGUGCAGAAGAAGCGCCGGCUAACUACGUG
rnacentral:rRNA from 1 species